rnacentral:lncRNA from 1 species
GACAACUCUCCACAAGAGACCAAAGACAUAUAAAUUAACAUCUAUAGGGCAACAUACCAAAUUUUGUUAAUAAUUAUCCAAUGGCAGCUGCAGGAAUACCAAAACAUUGUAUUUUGGAAGGUAGACCUGGAUGUUUCAUACUUUUUUUAUAGAUUCUUAUGUUAUUAAGUUUCUGUCUGUCAUUUGUCCAUUGUCCUUGACCUCAUU